AGACCAAACAGUUUAGUUUCAAGCAUAGCAAGUAAAGCAUGUCUCCUAGAUAGUGCAUCAGCCACUACAUUCCCUUUCCCUUUUUUUUGUUUGAUGACAUAUGGAAAUUGCUCUAAAAAAUCUACCCACUUAGCAUGCCUCUUAUUAAGCUUUCCUUGGCCUUUUAAGUAUUUUAAGGACUCGUGAUCACUAUGGAUGACAAACUCUUUGGGUAAUAGGUAAUGCUGCCAAGUUUGUAAAGCCCUAACCAAAGCAUACAAUUCCUCAGCACAACCAAUAUUCUUGUCCACAGAGGGACCACCCCCGGCGGCGGAAGAAAGAAGGAAUCUCGAUCUCAUUGAGGAGAGAUUGAGAGCUUUUAAAGGCUUUGGUGACUAUCCGUUCGCGGACAUGAUGGAUCUUUGCUUGGUACCGGACGUUGUC
rnacentral:pre_miRNA from 1 species